CUCACUCUCAAUCUACAAUUCUCCAAUCUUCUGCUAUUUGCACCUUAUACUGGGAUGAUAGCUACAACACUCGAAGCGUCUCACAAGAAGUGAUAUCGAGUAUGCGGACUCUCAUGACAGAGGAAUCCAAUGAUGCAGAUAGUGACUCUUUCUUGUUGGAUGAUGAUUCCAGCAUUCCUUUCUCAAUCGAUGAUAUUUCAAGUUCGAUGGAAGAGAAGGACUUUAUAGGAAUUAAACCAGCAGAGGAACUUCUUGAAAAUCCAGCAUUUGUAUUCUUGCACUAAAGUUCUUGAAAGUUUGAGAAGCUCAGAUUCUGAAAAGCUCUUCCUCUGUGAUAUUUUUUUAGUUUGAAGUGGAAGAGGGGAGGGGCCUUCUUGAAUCAAAAGAAGAAAAAAAUGGGAAAAAGUGUAAAUUCCUCUUUGUUUUGGCUGCUUUCUGUAAAAUUCUCAACUAUUCA